AACGAACGCUGGCGGCAGGCUUAACACCUGAAAGUCGAGGGGUAGAGGCUUUCGGGCCUUGAGACCGGCGCACGGGUGCGUAACGCGUAUGCAAUCUGCCUUGUACUGGGGGAUAGCCCAGAGAAAUUUGGAUUAAUACCCCAUAGUAUUUUCGGUUGGCAUCAACUGAUUAUUAAAGUUUUUCGGUACAAGAUGAGCAUGCGUCCCAUUAGCUAGUUGGUAUGGUAACGGCAUACCAAGUCUACGAUGGGUAGGGGUCCUGAGAGGGAGAUCCACCACACUGGUACGGAGACACGGACCAAGCGCCUACGGGAGGCAGAAGUGAGUAAUAUUGGUCAAUGGGCGCAAGCCUGACAACGCAACGCCGCGUGGAGGAUGAAGACCUUCAGGUCGUAAACUCCUUUCGACUCUGAUGAACACCCACCGACCUAAUACGUUGGUGGGCUGACAGUACCAAGGGAAGAAGCCCCGGCUAACUCCGUGCCAGCCGCCGCAGUAAAAC
rnacentral:rRNA from 1 species